UCCUUUUCUUAGAAAGUAAAAAUAUCUAAAAACAAAAUAAAGUUUAAAUCUACACACCUCAUAAAAAAUGCAAUUAUGUUUCAGUUAUCCCCUGGGGAUUGUACUGAAAAGAACAUGUUGAUUCUGCCGCCCUUGGCUCCAAAAGAAACAGAAUAAUGAGAAGUCUUGGCAUUUGUUGUAUAGAAAGACUUGGCAGAAGAAUUGGAACUAGAACUAUUAAAUGGAAAAGCAACGGAAAGGCACGCAGUGUCCAAAGAAGAGAGAAAGCUAUAAAAAAGCACCAAAGAAAAGCACACCAGAAACUUGGAAAAAAACCCUCAAAACCUGCCAAACUCACAAAAAGGUCAGCUAGAAGAUUUCCACACAGAAAUGCAGCUGAGAUACCAUUGCUGUUACUAAAUGCUAUAUAAGCUCACCUGCCUGGAACAGAAUAGUUGUGGUACAAGCAAUUUAGGGAAGCAGAGCUUCAAGGCAGUGGUGCCUUUUGCAGUGACUUAUCUAAAACACAACUGGGCAUGGCCCUACCCAACAUUUGGUUCCUCUCUGAUUCUUUAAAGAAAAAGAAAGAAAGAAAAGUGAUGUGGGAAAUACUGGUCCAGCCCUUGCAACAGAAGGGUGUGAGGAAGAUGUAAAUCACUGGAAGGCAACCGACACCAAGGAAUUGAAAGAAGAGUCUGUUUAGCUGUCAGCUUGAUGCAGCUGGCUGGCUGUGUGGUUAUAAUGGUAUCACAGUGUCUUGGGGAACUACUGAAUCACCCUGUAACAGAAGAUGGGGAAAUCUGGGGGCUGCAAAAGAAGGCGGUGAAGAUCACGACUGGAGAAAAGAUCCUGGAAGUUGCAGAAGACCCUGGAGAUCAGAUCAUUGCCUGGUGACAAGUGCUGGGGGAUGAGCAGACACUCUGGACCAGAGACCUCUCACAUCUGAGACUGGUACCUGUGGGCAGUGGCACAGCAUCAUCUGACUGAAAGCCUGUGCUUUCCUAGCCAGCAAAAACAUCUCCCUGUGCAGAGGGACACCGAGACCUGGGGAACAUGGUGCUGGUGGGGAGGCAGAGGAUGAAUGUGUGAGGAAAUAAGGCAGAGCAAAAGCUUAAAUCCCAGGGGUUCUUAAAUAAACCCCAAUAUCCAGAUCCACCAUGCAUUUUUGCUUGCUCCAUCUCACCUGUGCCAAUUUAAGACAUAACUUGUACAACUGCAUAAUUCAAUCCCUGCCCACCCGCAUUGCCAUGCCUGCAAAAUGCAGUAGAUGUAUCCACAACAGAAGACCAUGCUUCUUGUGCAGUGAUCAAUGACUCACCAGCAGUGUAGUCUUCUAAAUUUAGUUCUGUGCCCUACUGAGGAGUUACUCUGACAAUUUACCAUGGUGAUGCCACCCUUAUGAGCUUAUUAUCACUGUGUUUGUCUUCUCCCUCUUACUGCUGCUGGAAAAUAGGCAAAUACGCUACCAUUGCCACCUCUUUUUCUUUCAAAUUAUAACUCCUAAAUUGCACAGAAAGAAUGGAAGGAGAGAAACUGAACAAAGAUCACUUAAUCUUGUUAAACGUGGCAGGAAAUCACAUUUGUGUCAGAAUGGAGCAACAAAAAAAAAAGACACAUCCCAAUAUCAACUCCUGUAAUUCCACUGCUGAAUUAUUUUCAAACAUGGUAAAUCGAAUUUAAUGCCAAUAUGUCUGUAUGUGAAAGAUCAGUCUCACUGAGAAAACAAGAAAAUUGUACAGACUUAUGUGAGCUGUAUUUGAAGCGAGUCUUGUUUAUAAUGAAGUCAUCCUUGUUUGCUUGGAUAUUUAAAAAAAUUAAGAAAGGAACUGGAAACACAAGUUAUUAAUAAAUAUUUUCAUGUAAUUAGUCUGUGGAAGUACAAAUUUCUGUAGAAAUACUGGAAGCUCAUUUAAAUUCUCAAAGAGGCAUUUGAAGAAAAAUGAGCAAAACACCACU